UACAGAGGUCUCAAGCGUUGUUCGGAUUCAUUGGGCGUAAAGGGUGUGUAGGUGGCGCGCUAAGUUGGGUGUGAAAUCCCGGGGCUCAACCUCGGAAUUGCAUUCAAUACUGCUUCGCUCGAGUACUGGAGAGGAGGCUGGAAUUUACGGUGUAGCAGUGAAAUGCGUAGAUAUCGUAAGGAAGGCCGGUGGCGAAAGCGAGCCUCUGGACAGUUACUGACGCUGAUGCACGAAGGCCAGGGGAGCAAACGGG
rnacentral:rRNA from 1 species